rnacentral:misc_RNA from 1 species
UUGUUUUUGUUACGGUUGUUUACAUUCAUUACACAUUGUUUUGGUGGUUUUGCGCCCGGGGCGGGCCCGCGAGCCCCGAGACGUACACAGUUCACAGUGUGUGUGUGGAAUAGACUCGGCCAGAGGCCAAUCUCUAAUGAUCCUUCCGCAGGUUCACCUACGGAAA